AUGGGGACUUGAUAAUUAUCUAACUGUAAAGCAGGUUACUCAAUAUAUAUCCGACGAACCAUGGGGAUGGUACAAAUCUCCUUCUAAACUGUAAAAGACACCAACCUCUGAUUCAGAAUAAGCACUUCACAUCUACUUAGUCUACUGACAACUUGGAAGAAUGAUGUUGGGGGGAAGAAAGUCUUGCACAAGUAGUUCUGCUCUGUGAGUUUUGUGGUUAGUUCAGUUAGUUUGUGUUAAAGAACUCGAUUCAAUUUACUGAAAACAGUAGAUACUGAGAUGUGACUCAAUAAGAAAAUGCAGUUGUUGGUAGCCUGAAAAGGGAUUUUCAUAUGAUAUAAUCUGAGAUUGUGUGAAUUCGGG
rnacentral:misc_RNA from 1 species